rnacentral:rRNA from 1 species
UUACUGGAAAAUUAAUAGUUAUGUUCUUUAAAUUUAAAAAAUUUGGCGGUAUUUUAGUCUUAUUAGAGGAACCUGUUAUUUAAUUGAUAAUCCACGAUUUAUUUUACUUAGUUUUUUAAUUCAUAUAUCGCUGUCAUGAAUAUAUUUAAAAGUUUAUUUUCUAUAAUUAUUAUAUAAAUUUAUGUUAGGUCAAGAUGUGGUUUUAAUUAAGUUUUAAUGGGUUACAUUGAAUUUAAUUUUUGGAUUUAAAAUGAAAAUUUAAAUGAAAUUGGAUUUAAUAGUAAAUUUAUUUAUUUAUUUAAUAUGAAUAAAGAUCUAAAAUAUGUACAUAUUGCCCGUCAUUCUUAUAAAAAAUAAGACAAGUCGUAACAAAGUAAAUGUACUGGAAAGUGUAUUUAGAAAGAAUUAAA